rnacentral:rRNA from 1 species
UACGUAGGGUGCGAGCGUUGUCCGGAAUUAUUGGGCGUAAAGAGCUCGUAGGCGGUGUGUCACGUCGUUCGUGAAAACCUGCAGCUUAACUGUGGGCGUGCGGUCGAUACGGGCAUCACUGGAGUUCGGCAGGGGAGACUGGAAUUCCUGGUGUAGCGGUGAAAUGCGCAGAUAUCAGGAGGAACACCGGUGGCGAAGGCGGGUCUCUGGGCCGUAAACUUGACGCUGGAGGAGCGAAAGCGUGGGGAGCAACAGGA